CCGGGUGUGGCGCAGCUGGUAGCGCGCUUGACUGGGGGUCAAGAGGCCGCAUGUUCAAGUCAUGUCACUCGGACCA
rnacentral:tRNA from 1 species